rnacentral:lncRNA from 1 species
GGCAACCGGCUCGGGUCUCCUUACGCACUGUGGAAGCUUUGUUCCUUCGCUCUUUGCAAUAAAUCUUGCUACUGCUCACACUUUGGGUCCACACUGCCUUUAUGAGCUGUAACACUCACCGGGAAGGCCUGCAGCUUCACUCCUGAGCCAGCGAGACCACGAGCCCACCAGGAGGAACGAACAACUCCAGAGGCGCCGCCUUAAGAGCUGUAACCCGGCAAAGGUCUGCAGCUUCACUCCUGAGCCAGGGAGACCACGAACCCACCAGAAGGAAGAAACUCCAAACACAUCCGAACAUCAGAAGGAACAAACUCCAGACGCGCCACCUUAAGAGCUGUAACACUCACUGGGAGGGUCCGCGGCUUCAUUCUUGAAGUCAGUGAGACCAAGAACCCACCAAUUCCGGACACAUAACCACUAUGCUAGACCAGAUACAGGAAAUCUUCAUAACCUCAGGAAGUUCUCCUGUGCCUCUUUGCAGUCACUUCCUCUCCGUGUCUUCCUCCCACCCCCGCCAUCUGAGGCAACCACAACUGGAAUUUCUAUCAUAUUGUGUUAAAUUACUACUUCUAGAAAUUCAUGUAAAUGAAAUCAACCAGAAUGUGAUGUUUUCAGAUAUAUGAUCUCUGGUUGUUUUGUGAUCCCAGGAUCUACUGAGAUGUAUAGCAUAAGAAGUUAUACACAUCCUGGAUUUUGUAAGUUUCCCAGCUUCUCCAUUGUUCUUGAGUAUCAUUUUUCAGGGCAAUCAUAAAAAUGGGCAGGGCAUGAAGCAUUGCACUUCUAAAACUUGCAAAUCUGAAACCUGGAUUUCCAAACAUAUCAGAGAAAGAAGAAAAACAGGUCCUCACUGCCCUAUAGGACAAACCAGAACACGACGGCCAGGAUUCAGCUCCUAACCAAUCAAAUAGAGGAUUCAAAAAUACCCAAUCAAGAGGAGGAUUGAAAAACAGACUCUUCUGAAUGGACAAAGGGAGAAUAUGGGAGGGAACAACAUGGGAAUAUAAGUCAGACUAGCAACGGCACCCUCUUCCGGGUCCCCUUCCACCACGUGGAAGCUUUACUUUUGGUUUGCUCAAUAAACUGCGCUGCUG